rnacentral:lncRNA from 1 species
CUGGUGACCUGAGUCCCGACCCUGGGAUCCACACAGUUCAAGGGUGAAGAGAUGAUGGUAACACUUUAUACUCUUGGCCUCUCAACAAGAACUAUGGAUGCCUGGCUAGCUAGAAUGGAACCCCCCCACCUCGUCUCUUACCUGCGCAGAGAAGCCGUUGAAGAAGGCAUACCAGAAGUGCACCAAGGUAAAGGCAAAGUUUUUGUAAAAGAAGUAGCUGAGAAACUUGCACAUGCGAUUGUAAGACAAGCGGCCGUGCACCAAGAGCAGGCGCUGAAGAAAGUGGAACUGGCAGAAGGAGAAGUCACUGCUGAGCGUGGCCUGCAUCCCUUCCUGGUUGCUGAUGCCAACCCCGAUAUGGGCAGCUGAAAUGAAAGCCAGACAGUUCUAAGAC